UCGAAGUGGAGUGGACUGGGGUAGAAAUAUCCCUUCCUAGCAAUAGGCUGCUCUAUAGGUGCUGCAUGGCUGUCGUCAGCUCGUGUCGUGAGAUGUUGGGUUAAGUCCCGCAACGAGCGCAACCCUUAUUACCAGUUGCCAUCAUUCAGUUGGGCACUCUGGUGAGACCGCCUCGGAUAACGGGGAGGAAGGCGGGGAUGACGUCAAGUCCUCAUGGCCUUUAUGUCCAGGGCUACACACGUGCUACAAUGGCCGGUACAAACCGUCGCAAACCCGUGAGGGGGAGCUAAUCGGAAAAAGCCGGCCUCAGUUCGGAUUGUAGUCUGCAACUCGACUACAUGAAGCUGGAAUCGCUAGUAAUCGCGGAUCAGAAUGCCGCGGUGAAUACGUUCCCGGGCCUUGUACACACCGCCCGUCACAUCACGAAAGUGGGUUGUACUAGAAGUCGGUGAGCCAACCGCAAGGGGGCAGCCGCCCAAGGUGUAAUUCAUGAUUGGGGUGAAGUCGUAACAAGGUAGGCGUACUACA
rnacentral:rRNA from 1 species